rnacentral:lncRNA from 1 species
UAAAUUAAAAAAUUAAAUAAAAAUUAUAAAUAAAAUCGAAAAUAGUAAUAAUAUCAUCUCACCUCACCUAUUGCCUAAUAUGCCAUAUCCAAUCCAAAUAAGGUGUAUCUUGAAGACACCUUAAUAUAAUAUUAAAUUUACAUUAUGUUACAUGAAAAAGACUCAAAUUGAAUAUAUUUUGGAUUACAGACAUCCCGUGUGAAAUGCAAAUAAGUACAUGCGUAAAAGCCACGAUAAUUUGUUGAUCAAGUGAUUCAAGAAAUCAAACUCCUGCUGCUUCACAUGCUGUUAUCUCUAUCCCUUUGAUAGCGCUAUUUUCGUCCAACAAUUGGGACAAUCCUUCUUCAAUGCAUGAAGAGUCAUCUUCCACUUUAGCAUUUGGACUACUUUUCCUUUUCAUUACAAGAUCUAAUUUAAUUUCUAAGCAAAAAAAUUUUAAUUCAUUAAAUAUUCA